AGAGAAAGAGAGAAAAAAGAAAAAGAAAAAGUUCACGGGAGAGGCAGAUGGCUUAGCCCUUUCAAGUGCAUGCUACAGAGGCAGAGAGGCCAAGGGGAUGUCGGAUCUCAGUGAGUUCCAGGGCUGUUACACAGAAAAACCCUGUCUCCAAAAAACAAACAGGAAAAAAGAGAAGUAAACUUCUAACAGAAUUCUCAUGAGAGCCUGCCAAAGGAUGGAUAGGCCCCGUUCCUUUGCUCUGCUCGGAAAGUUAAACACACAGCUUACCUCUUCAGGGGCAUGAGGUGGUCAGGGCUCUUCCCAGAACGCCAGCAAUGAGGUGGUUUUACAACCUGGUGAUUCUUGGCUGUCUGCUGAGACGGGCUCUUCCAGUAUCUUCCAGAAUUUUAGGGAUUUACUUAUCCUAGACCCUAUCCCCUAAAUCUUGAGAGUUGCUCUUAGGUCAUAAAACCCAUUCUUGUUUGGUUGUUGUUGUUGUUUGGUUGUUUGUUUUCUAGACAGGGUUUCUCUGUAUAGCUCUGGCUGUCCUGGAACUCACUUUGUAAAGCCGGCUGGCUUCGAACUCAGAAAUCUACCUGCUUCUGCUUCCCUAGAAAUGGGAUUAAAGGCGUGUGCCACCACGCCCAGCUUAAAACCCAUUCUUAUGAGAUAGGUUGUGGGAAGCCACAUGUGCCGUUGCAGAGUGGCACUGACUACUGCUGGCCACCACGCAUAAGUUUGGACAAACAACCAAUGUGUACAUAUGCAGUAAAGUUUUUUGCAAAGACACUGCCUGGCCCCCUGGGCAUGAUAAAGAGGCUUUGAGAGUAUAACCAAUCAGAUGUGAGACAUGCAAAUGAGGUAUGAUAAUGAGGCUCUGUGAGGUACAGAGAGAGAGAGAGUAGCCAGAUGAGGAACAUGCAAAUGAGGCGUAGUGCAUAACCAAUCCAGGUGUGAGACACGCCUCUCCUAGGCAUAUAUAAGCAGCACCAGUUCUGGGCUCGGGGUCUUUUCGCCUCUGCAAUCAAGCUCUCCCAAUAAAUGUGUGCAGAAGGAUCCUGUUGCAGCGUCGUUCUUGCUGGUCAAGUCUGGCGCGUGCAAGAAGUGGUGCCGAAAACCCCAGGACAAGAAACAUCUUCAGGCACAAGCGAAGACCCCCUGCUACAGGGAGGAUUCAGAACUGCAUCGCGGGGAAGGAGCAGUUAAUAAAGGUUCCCGUAAAACAGACUGCUGAGAAGGAUCCGGCGUGGAUUCAGAACUCUUCAGCUGAGGAACGGUGGUAAUGAAGUGUUCCUGCAAAACAGACUGCUGAGAAGGAUUCAACUGCGUGGAUUCAGAACUCUUCAGCUGAAGAACGGUGGUACCGGUAAGUAUAAAGGCAGUGGGUCUGGUAAUUGUUGCUGGGUUUGUGUGGGACCAGCUGUUAAGGAAGGGCAGCGACUUUGUAGGAGUACCAGGAAGGCAUAUCAGAAACAGAGAGAAAGGACAAAGAAGACGUGCGC
rnacentral:lncRNA from 1 species